AUGGUCGUCGGGCUCUGGUGCGCGCACCCGGACACGACCGCGCGGCCAACCAUCAGAGAAGCCAUGGCCACGCUCCACAACUGCAGCCAGCUGCCACUGCUCCCCUCCAAGAUGCCGGUGCCGACAUACGCAACGCCGCCGCUCGCCUUGGGCGACGAAGUUGGGUUGUCAACGUCGCUGACGUCGUCCAGCUCCAGCGUGCGGCCACCAACCUCUGGUGCAACAACGACCAUUUCCUCCGACGCUAGCACCUCGACGGCCAGUUCAAACAAGGCCUCUUCUUCUCUACUGAAACAUCAGUACUAG
rnacentral:rRNA from 1 species